AUGACAUUACAAAAGGAUGCACAAUGGGACACACAUUUGAAUACAAAGGGAAAAAGGAAAAGGAGAACAAAAGUGAGCCAAAUAUUCUGUUUUUCUCAACCCUUCCCCCACUCAACAAAGUUGUGUUGUAAUUUGUCUCAUCCCCUUGCAUAUUACGAAAUAACCUUUUAUCGUUCUUUGUUAUUUGAAAAGUUGUAUAAAAUUUUAUGCCAAUUGCUUAUCGUGAGUAUGUGCUCCCAUGAACUUUUGAGUAUAUCCGAUGUACUAGAGAAUUUUUUUGUGUUAUCCACUUUUUGUAACAAAGUUGAGAUUAACACAUAG